CGGAGGGAGCUAGCGUUAUUCGGAAUUACUGGGCGUAAAGCGUUCGUAGGCGGCUUUGUAAGUCAGAGGUGAAAGCCCACGACUCAAUCGUGGAACUGCCUUUGAGACUGCUUCGCUUGAAGAUGGGAGAGGUUAGUGGAAUUCCGAGUGUAGAGGUGAAAUUCGUAGAUAUUCGGAAGAACACCAGUGGCGAAGGCGGCUAACUGGACCAUUCUUGACGCUGAGGAACGAAAGCGUGGGGAGCAAACAGGAUU
rnacentral:rRNA from 1 species